rnacentral:misc_RNA from 1 species
AAGACUAUAGACCUGCGGAGUACCUGCGGAAGGAUCAUUACUGAGUGAGGGCCCUCUGGGUCCAACCUCCCACCCGUGUUUAUUGUACCUUGUUGCUUCGGCGAGCCCGCCUCACGGCCGCCGGGGGGCAUUUGCCCCCGGGCCCGCGCCCGCCGAAGACAUCAUUGAACUCUGUCUGAAGAUUGCAGUCUGAGUAGAUUAGCUAAAUCAGUUAAAACUUUCAGCAAUGGAUCUCUAGAU